rnacentral:misc_RNA from 1 species
UUUCCGUAGGUGAACCUGCGGAAGGAUCAUUAAUGAACCCCUGGACAUGAUCGGUCCGUAAUGGCCCGUUAUGCUUCGGCCGAUCGCCAUAUGCGCGUAGUGACUAUUUGUUGCUUUCGUGGGCCGACACUUGGGCAUCGGAUUCGGCUGGCUCGCGACCGCCAGCGGUACCGAAACCUUGUAUGGUAGUGACGCCUGAGUGCUAUUUAAUAGUUCAAACUUUAAACAAUGGAUUUCUUGGUUCUGGCAUCGAUGAAGAACGCAACCGAUCGGAAAAGC